GACACGCUGGCGGCGUGCUUAACACAUGCAAGUCGAGCGAUGAUUCCCUUCGGGGAUGAUUAGCGGCGGACGGGUGAGUAACACGUGGGUAACCUGCCUUAAUGAGGGGGAUAGGCCUUCCGAAAGGAAGAUUAAUACCGCAUAAUAUUAAGUUUUCGCAUGAGAGCUUAAUCAAAGAUUUAUCGCAUUAAGAUGGACCCGCGGCGCAUUAGCUAGUUGGUGAGGUAACGGCUCACCAAGGCCACGAUGCGUAGCCGACCUGAGAGGGUGACCGGCCACAUUGGGACUGAGACACGGCCCAGACUCCUACGGGAGGCAGCAGUGGGGAAUAUUGCACAAUGGGGGAAACCCUGAUGCAGCAACGCCGCGUGAGUGAAGAAGGUCUUCGGAUCGUAAAGCUCUGUCUUUGGGGACGAUAAUGACGGUACCCAAAGAGGAAGCCACGGCUAACUACGUG
rnacentral:rRNA from 1 species